ACUGAGCAAGUGCUAAGGGCCGUGUGUUCCUUUCAGACACGUUGCCAUGGCAGCAGACCCGCAAGCCUGCUGGGCCCGGAGUGCAGGUCCGGGAGAAGGCCGGUCAGCUUUCGACCCCUGCCCUGCCUGGGCGUGACCCCCUUACAUCUCUUGUGGAUUCAGGUUCGCGUGGAAGAUGUCAUCCCAGGGCUGCCUCGUCAGGCUUUGAUUUUCUAAGUUUUAGGCUCUGUAGGAGAGGACACUGCUGACUUGCCAGGCUCACAGCCUCCCAACCCUGUAGCAGCAGGUUCACAGCCCACUCACGACCGCUGCGGCGUCAGAGGGGACACGGGUAGGGAAGUGCCAUACUUGGCCAGAACAAAAUUUUGGCUUUUGCCUUCUAUCUUUUAGUGGAAACUCUUAUAUGUCUAUCUUUUCCCUGGGACAAAAGAGGUGGGGAGGGGGGACAUUCUAUCCGAUAUUUCCAGGGAAGCUGGCAGAGGCAGGCAGGAUGUAGCUGGUCUGUGGGGAUGAUACGGCUUUGGAAAUUCGAAGUCAGGCCGCCACUGGGUAAUGGGAAAACUUUCUGGGUAGCCAUCAGGUUGUAAUUUUAAAAUGCGGAUGAGGGCACGCACGGGACAUUAGCAGAGGAAGUGGGAAAUGCGACGUCCUGUCUGACACAGUGUUCCUGACACCCAAUACGGCUGGCCAGGACACCCGGCUGUCUAUAAUUACAGUAACUACUAGGUGAA